UUCAUGCUGACAGUGGUGUUCGGUGGUGUGAUUGUGAUUCUCAUCAGUGUUCUUCUAGUCAUGUUGAAGAGGAGAAAACAACACCAAGACGAAACUGACUUUAAAGUACAACAAGAGAAAGAGGAGCAAGAUUCCAAAUAUGCUGCUUUACAUUUUUCUGAUAAGAAAAUCAAGAAAUCAGGGAGACACACUGAAGUGAUGGACACUGAGGUUGUGUAUUCUUCAGUAAGACACUAGCAUUGUACUGUGAUAGAAUAAAGUUAUACAUAAUUCCUUUACUGUUUUGAACAGCUUUACAUAGUUAAUUAUU